GCAGAUGUAGCUCAGUGAGAGAGUGCCUGUCUAGAAUUCACAAGAUUCUGAGCUCAAGCCUCAGCACUGCA
rnacentral:tRNA from 1 species